rnacentral:tRNA from 1 species
GGGCCCGUAGCUCAGCAUGGUUAGAGCGGCAGGCUCAUAACCUGUAGGUCCUGGGUUCGAGUCCCAGCGGGCCCA